rnacentral:lncRNA from 12 species
AUGCUCGCACAACAGAAGCAGCUCCCUGCCCGUCUGGGCACCACGGACCAUCUUGAAAAGCUAGGAGACAAGAAGACGCCAUCCAAGCUAGGUGGCUGGUGGUCUAGAUUUAGCUUGGGUUUGCUGAUCACUUUUAUCCUCUUUGUGGAAGAAACUGUGUGCGGGGAGCUCCUGCCCGGCCUGUGCUCUUUGUCAAGGACUCAGCGUGCAGAGCACCAACGAAGAGGGCCUCCCCUUCACGUUCCUGCUGUGCCUCACCCUCCAUCCUCCCAUCCUUGGUCACACUGCCCCCACCCUCCCCAUCCCUGGCCACGUGUGUUCCCCCUACCAUCCUCCCUGUCCCUGACCAUGACCUGGGGGGCCCAGGGGUGACCAGGGCUCGGUAGGGACUGAGGCCACAGAGGGCUGAGAUGGGUAAGCCGUGUGCUUGCUGAGCAGAGCGCCCCCAGCCCAUUGACAGGAUCCUCACUCAGCCAGUCUCCUGGGAUACCUGGUGCUCUCCCCACAAUUUCUGUGAAUCCCUGUCCUUGAGUCACUGUGGUUCCCAAUCUUCCCUUUUUUCUGUCCCUUCCCGUUGAUCCUUACUACCCACUUCACAGCCCAGGGAUGCGGACUGUCUUGUCCUAGAAAAUGUAACUGGCAAUUCAGGGAUUUAUAGGAAGAGAGUUUUAUUGCAGGUUAAAACAGUGAAUCUAUUAAAACCCAAUAUUCGGGAUCCCUGGGUGGUGCAGCGGUUUGGUGCCUGCCUUUGGCCCAGGGCGCGAUCCUGGAGACCCGGGAUCGAAUCCCACGUCGGGCUCCCAGUGCAUGGAGCCUGCUUCUCCCUCUGCCUGUGUCUCUGCCUCUCUCUCUCUCUCUGUGACUAUCAUAAAUAAAUAAAAAUUAAAAAAAAAAAACA